rnacentral:rRNA from 1 species
UACGUAGGGGGGCAAGCGUUGUCCGGAUUUAUUGGGCGUAAAGAGCGUGUAGGCGGUUUGGUAGGUCCGUUGUGAAAAACUCGAGGCUCAACCUCGAGACGCCGAUGGAAACCAUCAGACUAGAGUCCGGAAGAGGAGAGUGGAAUUCCUGGUGUAGCGGUGAAAUGCGCAGAUAUCAGGAAGAACACCCCGUGGCUAAGGCGGCUCUCUAGUACGGUACUGACGCUGAGACGCGAAAAGCGUGGGGAGCAAACAGG